GAUGAAGAACGCAGCGAAAUGCGAUAAGUAAUGUGAAUUGCAGAAUUCAGUGACUCAUCGAAUCUUUGAACGCACAUUGCGCCCGCCAGUAUUCUGGCGGGCAUGCCUGUUCGAGCGUCAUUUCAACCAUCAAGCCCCCGGCUUGUGUUGGGGACCUGCGGCUGCCGCAGGCCCUGAAAACCAGUGGCGGGCUCGCUGUCACACCGAGCGUAGUAGAUUUUCAUCUCGCUCAGGGCGUGCUGCGGGUUCCGGCCGUAAAAAGCCUUAUUUACCCAAGGUUGACCUCGGAUCAGGUAGGAAGACCCGCUGAACUUAAGCAUAUCAAUAAGGGAGGA
rnacentral:misc_RNA from 1 species